rnacentral:ncRNA from 13 species
UACACUUAUGGAUGCUAUGAAAACUACCUAGAACUGGGCGCCUAUGGUAGGUGGAGCUGGUGGCGCAACCGACCUAAGUAAA